rnacentral:rRNA from 1 species
UACGUAGGGUCCGAGCGUUGUCCGGAAUUACUGGGCGUAAAGAGCUCGUAGGUGGUUUGUCGCGUUGUUCGUGAAAACUCACAGCUCAACUGUGGGCGUGCGGGCGAUACGGGCAGACUAGAGUACUGCAGGGGAGACUGGAAUUCCUGGUGUAGCGGUGGAAUGCGCAGAUAUCAGGAGGAACACCGGUGGCGAAGGCGGCUAUCUGGGCUGAAACUGACGCUGAGGCGCGAAGGCUAGGGGAGCAAACAGG